AUUGAAGAGUUUAAUAAAUUAAUUAAUAUUUAGGACAGUUUUCUCAUCGUGUUUUAAGUCUAGAUCUAAAGGCUUACCACUGGAAUAUUAAAUUAUAGUACAUCUAUACCAGGGGCAGACUGGGUGUCAAAAUCUACCUAGAUUUAACAGGAGGUUUGGGCUACAAUGUACUUGGUUGUAUACUCAGCAGGAACAGGAGGUUGGGCUACAAUGUACUUGGUUGUAUACUCAGAAGGAACAGGAGGUUUGGGCUACAAUGUACGUGGUUGUAUACUCAGAAGGAACAGGAGGUUUGGGCUACAAUGUACUUGGUCGUAUACUCAGAAGGAACAGGAGGUUUGGCCUACAAUGUACUUGGUUGUAUACUCAGAAGGAACAGGAGGUUUGGGCUACAAUGUACUUGGUUGUAUACUCAGCAGGAACAGGAGGUUGGGCUACAAUGUACUUGGUCGUAUACUCAGAAGGAACAGGAGGUUUGGGCUACAAUGUAUUUGGUCGUAUACUCAGAAGGAACAGGAGGUUUGGGCUACAAUGUACUUGGUCGUAUACUCAGAAGGAACAUGAGGUUUGGGCUACAAUGUACUUGGUUGUAUACUCAGAAGGAACAGGAGGUUUGGCUUACAAUGUACUUGGUCGUAUACUCAGAAGGAACAGGAGGUUGGGCUACAAUGUACUUGGUUGUAUACUCAGAAGGAACAGGAGGUUUGGCCUACAAUGUACUUGGUUGUAUACUCAGAAGGAACAGGAGGUUUGGGCUACAAUGUACGUGGUUGUAUACUCAGAAGGAACAGGAGGUUUGGGCUACAAUGUACUUGGUUGUAUACUCAGAAGGAACAGGAGGUUUGGCCUACAAUGUACUUGGUUGUAUACUCAGAAGGAACAGGAGGUUUGGCCUACAAUGUACUUGGUUGUAUACUCAGAAGGAACAUGUCGAACAUUUCUUAAACAUUUAAAAAAAAAACACAAGUAGAUAACAUUUGAGUGACUCGUUUUUUUUUCUCCAUUAAUACGUGAUGUGAAAAGAUUUAAUCAAUAUAUUAAUUCAUAUGAGUAUAUCUAUAUAUUUCAUAUAUGUUUCUAUAUGAAAGAAAAGGCAGAGAGAAAGAGAGAGAGAAAGAAAGAGGUUAGAGAAAAGAGAGGGGCUAAGUGAGAGGGAAAGGGAAACAACCGUUCAACAGUCCAGCGCACAUGACCUGUUGUCUUUGUGUAUGUAGAAAAUAUUCAACAUGUUCUUUAAAUAGACAAGCCGACUAAUAUCAUGUACUUUUUUUCUCUAUUCACUCUAACAUCCCCCACCCCCUUUUAUUUUCUUCUCUCUAUGCGGAAGGAUGCAACAUUUUAAAUGUAUUUAUUGAAACACUUUUGAACUAAUCCAUGCUUAAUCCAUAAUCAUUCUACGCUUGAGUGACUUUCAACGCUUGGUAGACUACAUGUCCCAGUUGAAACUAUUGACUGACAAAUUUACAUUUUUAAUUUCCAUUGUAUUAUUAUUUUAUUACAAAGCACCGACACGCCACCCAGUCAGUUUCAACAGAGACAAAUGGAAAAAGUAUGCUAAUAUAACCAUUACAUUAUGUGCGCAGUCCUGCUCUCCCUUUCUCUUAUUCUCGUUGUCACAUUUUCCUCUCCCUCUGUUUCGAGAUCAUCUUAUAAACUAGAAUGCCGUGUAACAUUUUCUUUAGAGGAGACUGUUUAAAUGUCAUCUAGUGAAAAUUCCCUUUUAGCUCAAUUUAAUCUGGACGCGUACGGCGCAUGAUUUAUAAAGAGAAAGACUGAAAGUCAGACAACGACUGGAACAAAAUGUGAACUGAAUAUUUGUGUUUCUUUAAAUUAGGCCUGGAAUGGAGAUCUAGAAAUAAAGUAUUUCGAUAGACUAAGAUACUAAAUAUUCCAGCUAUGAGAAGACCCCUCCAAAGUGCUUUGUCAUUGACAAUGAAUAAUUCUGUAAAGUCUCUUGAUCAGAGAAUGGGAUUAUGGGAAUUUGGGAGAAAUAGUGUGUACAUUACAAGAUUCCAGACAGACAGACAAACAGAGUGACAAAGCCUUGUAAAAUUGUAUAUUGCAAGCUUGACACGAUAGGAAGUUUUACAUGUCCCUAACUAAAUACCUAUUCCUAAGUUGCACUCCCUAAUACAGUACAGAUUGACAACAGAUUGACCAACUAAUUGAGAACGCCAUCGGUACUAUUUGACAAGAUCUAAAGGAAAAAGACUUGAGACAAGGCAAAUGCUAUAACUGAUGACUUCUCGCUAGUUGCAAAUCGCCCGUGUGUCUAGGCUAAGUAAAUCAAGGAGACAUUAUCAAAUUAUUAUUAUAGCUUUUAUAUAGCGCUACUUUCAUGCUUAUAGCAUGCUCAGAGCGCUUUGGUCCAAUCUCAUUUUUGGACCAGUGGGGGGAGGGGGUAUCUAGGAGUUGGUUUUCCGUGCUGCCUUUAGCGCUCAGUAAACACAACUCUGCCCGAGUCGGGUGUUGAACCUCGAACCCCUUCUAGGUAGCCAAGACAAGCCAAGUUCAAGCGCACUUAGCCUCUCGACCAAGGUCAUUUCCACUAACAAAAAGUAGUGAUGCUUUAUCUUCAUUCUUUCUUGUUUUUUUGCAAAGCUUAUAUCAACUCACUCUGUCUGCCUGUCUGCCUGUCUGCCUGUCUGGUAGAAAGCAUGUGCAUGUUAUUUCUCCCACUUCCCAUUCUCGGAUCAAGUUGAAACUUUGCACAAUUAUUUAAUGUACCCGACAAAACAUGAAUGAGUCAAAAUUUUUGAAUUGCCUAUUGGUAAUUAAUUAUAUCAUUUUGAUAUCGAAAUAAGGGAAAUAAAUGCUACUUAAUAAAAUA